rnacentral:piRNA from 1 species
UGAUGCUUCGAGCGGAUAGUU